GAUGAACGCUGGCGGCGUGCCUAAUACAUGCCGGUCGAGCGAACGGACGAGAAGCUUGCUUCUCUGAUGUUAGCGGCGGACGGGUGAGUAACACGUGGAUAACCUACCUAUAAGACUGGGAUAACUUCGGGAAACCGGAGCUAAUACCGGAUAAUAUUUUGAACCGCAUGGUUCAAAAGUGAAAGACGGUCUUGCUGUCACUUAUAGAUGGAUCCGCGCUGCAUUAGCUAGUUGGUAAGGUAACGGCUUACCAAGGCAACGAUGCAUAGCCGACCUGAGAGGGUGAUCGGCCACACUGGAACUGAGACACGGUCCAGACUCCUACGGGAGGCAGCAGUAGGGAAUCUUCCGCAAUGGGCGAAAGCCUGACGGAGCAACGCCGCGUGAGUGAUGAAGGUCUUCGGAUCGUAAAACUCUGUUAUUAGGGAAGAACAUAUGUGUAAGUAACUGUGCACAUCUUGACGGUACCUAAUCAGAAAGCCACGGCUAACUACGUG
rnacentral:rRNA from 1 species